GUAUCGGUGGUUGAGUGGUACAAUCAGCGCUUGCCAUGUGCUGGGCCCGGGUUCGAUUCCCGGCCGAUACA